rnacentral:rRNA from 1 species
GACGAACGCUGGCGGCGUGCUUAACACAUGCAAGUCGAACGAUGACGACCGAGCUUGCUCGGUCUGAUUAGUGGCGAACGGGUGAGUAACACGUGAGCAACCUGCCCUUCACUCUGGGAUAACCUCGGGAAAUCGGGGCUAAUACCGGAUAUGAGCUCCUGUCGCAUGGCGGGUGUUGGAAAGUUUUUCGGUGGAGGAUGGGCUGGCGGGCUAUCGGUUUGUUGGUGGGGUAGUGGCUCACCAAGGCGUUGACGGGUAGCCGGCCUGGGAGGGCGACCGGCCCCGUUGGGACUAAGAGAAGGCCCAGCCUGAUACGGGAGGCAGGAGGGGGGAAUCGUGCACAAGGGGCGAAAGCCUGAUGCAGCGACGCGGGGGGGGGGAGGAAGGCCUUCGGGUUGAAAACCUCUUUCGCCUGGGAAGAAGCGUGAGUGAAGGUACUGAAUAAAGAAGCCCCGGCUAACUACGUG